GGAGAGAUGGCUGAGCGGAUCAAAGCGACGGAUUUCUAAUCCGUAGUACGGAUUAUCCAUACCGAGGGUUCGAAUCCCUCUCUCUUCG
rfam:Picea glauca, whole genome shotgun sequence.